GAUGAACGCUGGCGGCGUGCCUAAUACAUGCAAGUCGAGCGAACGGACGAGAGGCUUGCUUCUCUGAUGUUAGCGGCGGACGGGUGAGUAACACGUGGAUAACCUACCUAUAAGACUGGGAUAACUUCGGGAAACCGGAGCUAAUACCGGAUAAUAUUUUGAACCGCAUGGUUCAACAGUGAAAGACGUUCUUGCUGUCACUUAUAGAUGGAUCCGCGCUGCAUUAGCUAGUUGGUAAGGUAACGGCUUACCAAGGCAACGAUGCAUAGCCGACCUGAGAGGGUGAUCAGCCACACUGGAACUGAGACACGGUCCAGACUCCUACGGGAGGCAGCAGUAGGGAAUCUUCCGCAAUGGGCGAAAGCCUGACGGAGCAACGCCGCGUGAGUGAUGAAGGUCUUCGGAUCGUAAAACUCUGUUAUUAGGGAAGAACAUAUGUGUAAGUAACUGUGCACAUCUUGACGGUACCUAAUCAGAAAGCCACGGCUAACUACGUG
rnacentral:rRNA from 1 species